rnacentral:rRNA from 1 species
UACGAAGGGGGCUAGCGUUGCUCGGAAUGACUGGGCGUAAAGGGCGCGUAGGCGGUCGGAUAAGUCAGCUGUGAAAACCACGGGCUUAACUCGUGGCCUGCAGUUGAGACUGUCUGGCUUGAGUGUGGGAGAGGAGAGUGGAAUUCCUGGUGUAGCGGUGAAAUGCGUAGAUAUCAGGAGGAACACCGGUGGCGAAGGCGGCUCUCUGGACCACAACUGACGCUGAGGCGCGAAAGCUAGGGGAGCAAACAGG